rnacentral:rRNA from 1 species
UCCGUAGGAAUACCCGCUGAACUUAAGCAUAUCAAUAAGCGGAGGAGUUUACAACUCCCAAACCCUUAUGUGAACCGUACCUAUCGUUGCUUCGGCGGGAACGCCCCGGCGCCCUGCGCCCGGAUCCAGGCGCCCGCCGGAGACCCCAAACUCUUGUGUUUUUUUCAGUAUUCUCUGAGUGGCAAACGCAAAAAUAAAUCAAAACUUUUAACAACGGAUCUCUUGGCUCUGGCAUCGAUGAAGAACGCAGCGAAAUGCGAUAAGUAAUGUGAAUUGCAGAAUUCAGUGAAUCAUCGAAUCUUUGAACGCACAUUGCGCCCGUUAGCAUUCUAGCGGGCAUGCCUGUCCGAGCGUCAUUUCAACCCUCAGGGUCCCCGUUCCGGCGGGGAACCUGGUGUUGGGGAUCGGCCCGCCCCGUGCGGCGCCGUCCCCCAAAUUCAGUGGCGGUCUCGCUGCAGCCUCCCCUGCGUAGUAGUUACAACCUCGCAUCGGAGCUCAGCGCGGCCACGCCGUAAAACCCCCGACUUUCUGAACGUUGACCUCGGAUCAGGUAGGAAUACCCGCUGAACUUAAGCAUAUCAAUAAGCGGAGGA